UGGGGAAUAUUUCACAAUGGGCGCAAGCCUGAUGCAGCCAUGCCGCGUGUAUGAAGAAGGCCUUCGGGUUGUAAAGUACUUUCAGCGGGGAGGAAGGGAGUAAAGUUAAUACCUUUGCUCAUUGACGUUACCCGCAGAAGAAGCACCGGCUAACUCCGUGCCAGCAGCCGCGGUAAUACGGAGGGUGCAAGCGUUAAUCGGAAUUACUGGGCGUAAAGCGCACGCAGGCGGUUUGUUAAGUCAGAUGUGAAAUCCCCGGGCUCAACCUGGGAACUGCAUCUGAUACUGGCAAGCUUGAGUCUCGUAGAGGGGGGUAGAAUUCCAGGUGUAGCGGUGAAAUGCGUAGAGAUCUGGAGGAAUACCGGUGGCGAAGGCGGCCCCCUGGACGAAGACUGACGCUCAGGUGCGAAAGCGUGGGGAGCAAACAGG
rnacentral:rRNA from 2 species